rnacentral:rRNA from 1 species
UACGUAGGGGGCAAGCGUUGUCCGGAAUUAUUGGGCGUAAAGAGCGUGUAGGCGGUCCGGUAAGUCAGCUGUGAAAGUCAAGGGCUCAACCCUUGAAAGCCGGUUGAUACUGUCGGGCUAGAGUCCGGAAGAGGCGAGUGGAAUUCCCGGUGUAGCGGUGAAAUGCGCAGAUAUCGGGAGGAACACCCGUGGCGAAGGCGGGUCCCUGGGACGGUACUGACGCUGAGACGCGAAAGCGUGGGGAGCGAACAGG